rnacentral:rRNA from 1 species
AAUCUUCCACAAUGGACGAAAGUCUGAUGGAGCAACGCCGCGUGCAGGAUGAAUGCCUUAGGGUUGUAAACUGCUUUUAUAAGUGAGGAUUUUGACAGUAACUUAUGAAUAAGGAUCGGCUAACUCCGUGCCAGCAGCCGCGGUCAUACGGAGGAUCCAAGCGUUAUUCGGAAUGACUGGGCGUAAAGAGUUGCGUAGGCGGUUUAUUAAGCGUGUAGUGAAAUUUCAGGGCUCAACCUUGAAACUGCUACACGAACUGGCAAACUAGAGUAUAUGAGGGGAACCUGGAAUUCCUGGUGUAGGAGUGGAAUCCGUAGAUAUCAGGAGGAACACCAAUGGCGUAGGCAGGGUUCUGGCAUAUUACUGACGCUAAGGCACGAAAGCGUGGGGAGCGAACGGGAUUAGAUACCCCGGUAGUCCACGCCGUA